GGAUUGACUGUUAACUCGGCAAUCUCCAAAAUAACACGAGGUACCUUUAAAAUAUAAUGUCCUUUAUCAUAUCCGUCUAUCUAUAUAUCUAUCUAUAUGUAUAAUUUGCAGACUGUGGGAUCAGCUAUUGACUCAGUAACCUCCAGAAUAAAACGAAAUAACUUAAAAAAAAAAAAACAAUAUCCUUUAGGUAAGUCCACAGUUAAAAGCAACUGUUUUCUAUGACUUGUAACCAUGGCAACGGUGUGGGCUGACCGGGAGCACUGCUUUUCUCAGGACAUGCGCAUGGCAAUCAUUCUGGUUGUGUCCUUGACUGUACAGUGUGUGUCCCGUAUUCCUCGUCGCGGCGUCGUGCCCUGGGAUCAGAGGACGCCCGUAUGUGUGGUUGAGUGUAGGCGUAUUAACACAACGAGAGGUGCUUUGCUAGUGACUGAGAUGGACACGUGGCAUGCAAUAUCAUGAGUACCUGGAUUAAUUUAACCAAGCAAGAGGUUAACGACGGCAGAUGUAAACCAGGGCAAUGUUACUCCUUAGCGCAAAUGAGCCGUAUUAUUUUGAUGACCUCUUGUAUCUUACUUUCUUUUGUAAAUUUUGUCAAACACCAGCGUUCCCAUGCCAGCUCAAUUCGUUAUCUGUUGUGUGUCGUGGAAGCUGUUUCAGUCAUUCUCUUUGUGCCUGAAUCACGUUGAGAAUUACUGUGUUGUUUGUUAGUAAGUAGAGGAGUGCUUACCUUGGACAGCACACUAUGCAAAGAAAUACAAACCAAGACUCACUUAAGAGGCUUA